GGCAUAGGGUUGUGUUUGAAGAAAUGGAGUUUCGUUGUUCGUCACAUGAAACUCUGCACUUAGGGAUCAGCCUCACAAAUAUGCUCUUCGAGCUUUGAAACCGUCUUCUUUGUGGACUCGGCUGUAGGCUAUAUAUCCAUGGCUUGUUGAGAUCCCCUUCCUCCUUCCUUUCUCACUGGAAAAAGCAGUAGUUGUCAAUCGACGACCAGUUAUCAAU
rnacentral:lncRNA from 1 species